rnacentral:siRNA from 1 species
AUAAGUUAGAUUAAGAUAUAUGGU